rfam:Ornithorhynchus anatinus chromosome 7, whole genome shotgun sequence.
UCCUUCUCAGGUUCACCCCUGGAGAGUUUCCAGUAUUCUACCAGUUUCGGCUACAGGAGGAAGAGUCAAGCAGAGGCCUACCCAUUCCAUUCCUAGCUUGGCCAGUGGCUAAUGAGUGGAAGGCCAUCCGCUACAAGU